rnacentral:rRNA from 1 species
AUUGAACGCUGGCGGCAUGCCUUACACAUGCAAGUCGAACGGCAGCACGGGUGCUUGCACCUGGUGGCGAGUGGCGAACGGGUGAGUAAUACAUCGGAACGUACCUUAUCGUGGGGGAUAACGCAGCGAAAGUUGCGCUAAUACCGCAUACGCCCUGAGGGGGAAAGCGGGGGACCGUAAGGCCUAGCGCGAUUAGAGCGGCCGAUGUCUGAUUAGCUUGUUGGUGAGGUAAAAGCUCACCAAGGCGAUGAUCAGUAGCUGGUCUGAGAGGACAUUCAGCCUCACUUGGACUGGGACACGGCCCAGACUCCUACGGGAGGCAGCAGGGGGGAAUUUUGGACAAUGGGGGCAACCCUGAUCCAGCAAUGCCGCGUGAGUGAAGAAGGCCUUCGGGUCGUAAAGCUCUUUUGUCAGGGAAGAAACAGCAGCUCUAACACAGUCUGCGAAUGACGGUACCUGAAGAAUAAGCACCGGCUAACUACGUGCCAGCAGCCGCCGUAA